GACGAACGCUGGCGGCGUGCUUAACACAUGCAAGUCGAACGGAGUGGCGAACGGGUGAGUAACACGUGGGUGAUCUGCCUUGCACUUCGGGAUAAGCUUGGGAAACUGGGUCUAAUACCGGAUAGUGCAAGAUGAGCUCGCGGCCAAUCAGCUUGUUGGUGGGGUAAUGGCCUACCAAGGCGUCGACGGGUAGCCGGCCUUGGAGGGUGUACGGCGACAUUGGGACUGAGAGACGUCCCAGACUCCUACGUGGGGCAGCAGGGGCGAAGAUUGCGCAAUGGUCGGAAGCCUGAUGCAGCGACGCCGCGUGUGGGAUGAAGGCCUUCGGGUUGUAAACUCCUUUCGACAGGGACGCGGUACCUGUAUAAGAAGCACCGGCUAACUACGUGCCAGCAGCCGCGGUAAUUC
rnacentral:rRNA from 1 species